rnacentral:rRNA from 1 species
ACUAAGCGUACACGGUGGAUGCCCUGGCAGUCAGAGGCGAUGAAGGGCGUGCUAAUCUGCGAUAAGCGCCGGUAAGGUGAUAUGAACCGUUAUAACCGGCGAUACCCGAAUGGGGAAACCCAGUGUGAUUCGUCACACUAUCAUUAACUGAAUCCAUAGGUUAAUGAGGCGAACCGGGGGAACUGAAACAUCUAAGUACCCCGAGGAAAAGAAAUCAACCGAGAUUCCCCCAGUAGCGGCGAGCGAACGGGGAGGAGCCCAGAGCCUGAAUCAGCAUGUGUGUUAGUGGAAGCGUCUGGAAAGGCGCGCGAUACAGGGUGACAGCCCCGUACACAAAAGCGCAUGUGCUGUGAGCUCGAUGAGUAGGGCGGGACACGUGGUAUCCUGUCUGAAUAUGGGGGGACCAUCCUCCAAGGCUAAAUACUCCUGACUGACCGAUAGUGAACCAGUACCGUGAGGGAAAGGCGAAAAGAACCCCGGCGAGGGGAGUGAAAAAGAACCUGAAACCGUGUACGUACAAGCAGUGGGAGCCCCACCACCAAAGCNGCUUUGGGGUGGGGUGACUGCGUACCUUUUGUAUAAUGGGUCAGCGACUUAUAUUCUGUAGCAAGGUUAACCGAAUAGGGGAGCCGGAGGGAAACCGAGUCUUAACCGGGCGUUAAGUUGCAGGGUAUAGACCCGAAACCCGGUGAUCUAGCCAUGGGCAGGUUGAAGGUUGGGUAACACUAACUGGAGGACCGAACCGACUAAUGUUGAAAAAUUAGCGGAUGACCUGUGGCUGGGGGUGAAAGGCCAAUCAAACCGGGAGAUAGCUGGUUCUCCCCGAAAGCUAUUUAGGUAGCGCCUCGUGAAUUCAUCUCCGGGGGUAGAGCACUGUUUCGGCUAGGGGGCCAUCCCGGCUUACCAACCCGAUGCAAACUGCGAAUACCGGAGAAUGUUAUCACGGGAGACACACGGCGGGUGCUAACGUCCGUCGUGAAGAGGGAAACAACCCAGACCGCCAGCUAAGGUCCCAAAGUCAUGGUUAAGUGGGAAACGAUGUGGGAAGGCCCAGACAGCCAGGAUGUUGGCUUAGAAGCAGCCAUCAUUUAAAGAAAGCGUAAUAGCUCACUGGUCGAGUCGGCCUGCGCGGAAGAUGUAACGGGGCUAAACCAUGCACCGAAGCUGCGGCAGCGACGCUUAUGCGUUGUUGGGUAGGGGAGCGUUCUGUAAGCCUGUGAAGGUGGCCUGUGAGGGUUGCUGGAGGUAUCAGAAGUGCGAAUGCUGACAUAAGUAACGAUAAAGCGGGUGAAAAGCCCGCUCGCCGGAAGACCAAGGGUUCCUGUCCAACGUUAAUCGGGGCAGGGUGAGUCGACCCCUAAGGCGAGGCCGAAAGGCGUAGUCGAUGGGAAACGGGUUAAUAUUCCCGUACUUGGUGUUACUGCGAAGGGGGGACGGAGAAGGCUAUGUUGGCCGGGCGACGGUUGUCCCGGUUUAAGCGUGUAGGUGUGUGUUCCAGGUAAAUCCGGUUCACUUUAACACUGAGGCGUGAUGACGAGGCACUACGGUGCUGAAGCAACAAAUGCCCUGCUUCCAGGAAAAGCCUCUAAGCAUCAGGUAACAUCAAAUCGUACCCCAAACCGACACAGGUGGUCAGGUAGAGAAUACCAAGGCGCUUGAGAGAACUCGGGUGAAGGAACUAGGCAAAAUGGUGCCGUAACUUCGGGAGAAGGCACGCUGACACGUAGGUGAAGUGAUUUACUCAUGGAGCUGAAGUCAGUCGAAGAUACCAGCUGGCUGCAACUGUUUAUUAAAAACACAGCACUGUGCAAACACGAAAGUGGACGUAUACGGUGUGACGCCUGCCCGGUGCCGGAAGGUUAAUUGAUGGGGUCAGCGCAAGCGAAGCUCCUGAUCGAAGCCCCGGUAAACGGCGGCCGUAACUAUAACGGUCCUAAGGUAGCGAAAUUCCUUGUCGGGUAAGUUCCGACCUGCACGAAUGGCGUAAUGAUGGCCAGGCUGUCUCCACCCGAGACUCAGUGAAAUUGAACUCGCUGUGAAGAUGCAGUGUACCCGCGGCAAGACGGAAAGACCCCGUGAACCUUUACUAUAGCUUGACACUGAACAUUGAGCCUUGAUGUGUAGGAUAGGUGGGAGGCUUUGAAGNUGGAGCCGACCUUGAAAUACCACCCUUUAAUGUUUGAUGUUCUAACGUGGACCCGUUACCCGGGUUGCGGACAGUGUCUGGUGGGUAGUUUGACUGGGGCGGUCUCCUCCUAAAGAGUAACGGAGGAGCACGAAGGUUGGCUAAUCCUGGUCGGACAUCAGGAGGUUAGUGCAAUGGCAUAAGCCAGCUUGACUGCGAGCGUGACGGCGCGAGCAGGUGCGAAAGCAGGUCAUAGUGAUCCGGUGGUUCUGAAUGGAAGGGCCAUCGCUCAACGGAUAAAAGGUACUCCGGGGAUAACAGGCUGAUACCGCCCAAGAGUUCAUAUCGACGGCGGUGUUUGGCACCUCGAUGUCGGCUCAUCACAUCCUGGGGCUGAAGUAGGUCCCAAGGGUAUGGCUGUUCGCCAUUUAAAGUGGUACGCGAGCUGGGUUUAGAACGUCGUGAGACAGUUCGGUCCCUAUCUGCCGUGGGCGCUGGAGAACUGAGGGGGGCUGCUCCUAGUACGAGAGGACCGGAGUGGACGCAUCACUGGUGUUCGGGUUGUCAUGCCAAUGGCACUGCCCGGUAGCUAAAUGCGGAAGAGAUAAGUGCUGAAAGCAUCUAAGCACGAAACUUGCCCCGAGAUGAGUUCUCCCUGAGACUUAGAGUCUCCUGAAGGAACGUUGAAGACGACGACGUUGAUAGGCCGGGUGUGUAAGCGCAGCGAUGCGUUGAGCUAACCGGUACUAAUGAACCGUGAGGCUUAACC